AUUGAACGCUGGCGGCAUGCCUUACACAUGCAAGUCGAACGGCAGCACGGGAGCAAUCCUGGUGGCGAGUGGCGAACGGGUGAGUAACGCAUCGGAACGUGCCCAGUCGUGGGGGAUAGCCCGGCGAAAGCCGGAUUAAUACCGCAUACGACCCAUGGGUGAAAGCGGGGGACCUUUCGGGGCCUCGCGCGAUUGGAGCGGCCGAUGUCAGAUUAGGUAGUUGGUGGGGUAAAGGCCUACCAAGCCGACGAUCUGUAGCUGGUCUGAGAGGACGACCAGCCACACUGGGACUAGGACACGGCCCAGACUCCUACGGGAGGCAGCAGUGGGGAAUUUUGGACAAUGGGCGCAAGCCUGAUCCAGCCAUGCCGCGUGCGGGAAGAAGGCCUUCGGGUUGUAAACCGCUUUUGUCGGGGAAGAAAUACGCCGGGCUAACAUCCUGGCGGGAUGACGGUACCCGAAGAAUAAGCACCGGCUAACUACGUGCCAGCCGCCGCGGUAACAC
rnacentral:rRNA from 1 species